rnacentral:rRNA from 1 species
GAGUUUGAUCAUGGCUCAGGAUGAACGCUAGCUACAGGCUUAACACAUGCAAGUCGAGGGGCAGCAUUCCAGUUUGCUUGCAAACUGGAGAUGGCGACCGGCGCACGGGUGAGUAACACGUAUCCAACCUGCCGAUAACUCGGGGAUAGCCUUUCGAAAGAAAGAUUAAUACCCGAUGGCAUAAUAGAACCGCAUGGUUUGAUUAUUAAAGAAUUUCGGUUAUCGAUGGGGAUGCGUUCCAUUAGGCAGUUGGUGGGGUAACGGCCCACCAAACCUUCGAUGGAUAGGGGUUCUGAGAGGAAGGUCCCCCACAUUGGAGCUGAGACACGGUCCAAACUCCUACGGGAGGCAGCAGUGAGGAAUAUUGGUCAAUGGACGAGAGUCUGAACCAGCCAAGUAGCGUGAAGGAUGACUGCCCUAUGGGUUGUAAACUUCUUUUAUAUGGGAAUAAAGUGGUCCACGUGUGGAUUUUUGUAUGUACCAUAUGAAUAAGGAUCGGCUAACUCCGUACCAGCAGCCGCGGUAAUACGGAGGAUCCGAGCGUUAUCCGGAUUUAUUGGGUUUAAAGGGAGCGUAGGUGGACAGUUAAGUCAGUUGUGAAAGUUUGCGACUCAACCGUAAAAUUGCAGUUGAUACUGGCUGUCUUGAGUACAGUAGAGGUGGGCGGAGUUCGUGGUGUAGCGGUGAAAUGCUUAGAUAUCACGAAGAACUCCGAUUGCGAAGGCAGCUCACUGGACUGCAACUGACACUGAUGCUCGAAAGUGUGGGUAUCAAACAGGAUUAGAUACCCUGGUAGUCCACACAGUAAACGAUGAAUACUCGCUGUUUGCGAUAUACAGUAAGCGGCCAAGCGAAAGCAUUAAGUAUUCCACCUGGGGAGUACGCCGGCAACSGYGAAACUCAAAGGAAUUGACCGSGGCCCGCUCUGGCGGAUGAACAUGUGGUUUAAUUCGAUGAUACGCGAGGAACCUUACCCGGUGUUAAAUUGCAUUUAAAUAAAUUGGAAAUAGUAUCGUCGUAAGACAAAUGUGAAGGUGCUGCAUGGUUGUCGUCAGCUCGUGCCGUGAGGUGUCGGCUUAAGUGCCAUAA